AGCAGACAAGACGCCGCAUUUUAAGAUGAUGUUUGGUUUCCGAUAAGACGAACAAGCUUCCUCUUGAAGCCAAACACUGGAUUCUCUGCCAACUCUGAGGCGCCAUCCUGCGCUUCUGCCAAGUCAUCGAUGUGCUGAACAGGGCUGAAGACAUUUUUCUCUGCCUUUCCAAGGAAGUGAACGGUCUUUAGGAUAUCUGCAUUAAAGAGGGAAGGGUCCUGGACAAACAUUGCCUUCCAAACGAGUUCUUUGGCUUCAUCGCAGGAGGACACCAAGUUGCCCAGGAACUGAAGCCCGCACUGCAGCGCGGCGAUUCCUGCACCUGCAACGUAAACAGACCGCUAUGCAAUUUGGUAAAAUUAUGUGGUCGCAUACUUUUUUUCCCUCCGUUUAAAAAAGAUGAAAUGCCUGGAAACACAGGAUUUCUCAGUUGCUGCAAGACAUGAAUGGAGGGUAGGAUAGGUAGGACAAAGCAUGAGACUCUGAUGACAUUUUUGCUACCAUAACAACAACAACAUCAACAUCAACUUUAUUUGAAUGAUGAUGAGUGGGGAAUUUCAUCACUGUUUCGUCACUAUUUUUCAACCAGAUAUGUUUCCUCAGCUUUAUGGCACAUGUUUUUUAAACGCAGCUUUUAAGGCACACCUUUAUGCACACCUUGAUGCAUCAUGGCCUUAGUAGCUAGUGCGUCGAUAAAACUCAAAUAAAAUAAAAUAAAAUAAAACAAUGGUGGUAACGUGAAGGGGGCUUCGCAUAAAUCUUGGAUGUAGUAAGACAAAGCCGACUUUAAGGCAGAAUGGUGGUAGCGAUAUCUUGCUUCAGUACUGUUCAAAACAUAUUCGAAAAUUUCGCAUACUGAAAAUGGGGUGUGAUUAGCAUUUGAAUAGCAUAAGAUAUAGACGUUGCAUGUUUGAAAUUUUGAAUAUUUGCACGGCUCUAAUAAAGACAUUUUUGCUGACUUUUGCAAAGCCUCGGAUAUAGUGUAGCUAGAUUAGCACUUAGUUGCACGCAAACUCACAUUUUUUCUUCCUCUUUGUGAAUGAACGCUUUACUAAACUGUGUUUCACACGAGAUGUGAUUUCGUGUAUUCAACUUCCCACUGCUGUAGGGAAAACCACGUUCGCGACAUGACAUUUACGUGGAUGCUAAUUGAGUGAUCUCACCCAUUCAUCGAAAAAAAGAGAGAAUUGUACUUAUUUCAAGGGCGAGUAGUAAUCUCUGAUGACUCACUGUCAUUGACUGGAACGUUGGCUUGGCCUUCGGAGAAGUGCCUCACCAGCUGCACUGUACUGUUCAACAACGCUGGCUGAC